GACGAACGCUGGCGGCGUGCUUAACACAUGCAAGUCGAACGAAGAGCGAUGGAAGCUUGCUUCUAUCAAUCUUAGUGGCGAACGGGUGAGUAACGCGUAAUCAACCUGCCCUUCAGAGGGGGACAACAGUUGGAAACGACUGCUAAUACCGCAUACGAUCUAACCUCGGCAUCGAGGAUAGAUGAAAGGUGGCCUCUACAUGUAAGCUAUCACUGAAGGAGGGGAUUGCGUCUGAUUAGCUAGUUGGAGGGGUAACGGCCCACCAAGGCGAUGAUCAGUAGCUGGUCUGAGAGGAUGAACGGCCACAUUGGGACUGAGACACGGCCCAGACUCCUACGGGAGGCAGCAGUGGGGAAUCUUCCGCAAUGGACGAAAGUCUGACGGAGCAACGCCGCGUGAGUGAUGACGGCCUUCGGGUUGUAAAGCUCUGUUAAUCGGGACGAAAGGCCUUCUUGCGAAUAGUGAGAAGGAUUGACGGUACCGGAAGAGAAAGCCACGGCUAACUACGUG
rnacentral:rRNA from 1 species